GCGCGGUUAGCUCAGCGGUAGAGUGCUACCUUGACACGGUAGUGGUCACAGGUUCGAGUCCUGUACCGCGCA
rfam:Candidatus Xiphinematobacter sp. Idaho Grape, complete genome.